UGGGGAAUAUUGCACAAUGGACGAAAGUCUGAUGCAGCGACGCCGCGUGAGGGAUGAAGGUCUUCGGAUCGUAAACCUCUGUCAGUUGGGAAGAAACAGUAGCGUGCUAAUCAGCGCUACCUUGACGGUACCAACAAAGGAAGGACCGGCUAACUCCGUGCCAGCAGCCGCGGUAAUACGGAGGGUCCAAGCGUUAAUCGGAAUUACUGGGCGUAAAGCGCUCGUAGGCGGUAUAGCAAGUCAAUGGUGAAAGCCCCGUGCUCAACAUGGGAACUGCCUUUGAAACUGCUAAACUAGAGUAUGUGAGAGGGUGGCGGAAUUCCAGGUGUAGGAGUGAAAUCCGUAGAUAUCUGGAGGAACAUCAGUGGCGAAGGCGGCCA
rnacentral:rRNA from 1 species